rnacentral:tRNA from 1 species
GUACAGGGUAGCCUAGUGGAUAUGGCAUCUGCCCGGUAAGCGGAACACUGUGGGUUCGAUUCCCAUCCCUGGACA